rnacentral:rRNA from 1 species
GAUGAACGCUGGCGGCGUGCUUAACACAUGCAAGUCGAACGGGAAUUACUUUAUUGAAACUUCGGUCGAUUUAAUUUAAUUCUAGUGGCGGACGGGUGAGUAACGCGUGGGUAACCUGCCUUAUACAGGGGGAUAACAGUCAGAAAUGGCUGCUAAUACCGCAUAAGCGCACAGAGCUGCAUGGCUCAGUGUGAAAAACUCCGGUGGUAUAAGAUGGACCCGCGUUGGAUUAGCUUGUUGGUGGGGUAACGGCCCACCAAGGCGACGAUCCAUAGCCGGCCUGAGAGGGUGAACGGCCACAUUGGGACUGAGACACGGCCCAGACUCCUACGGGAGGCAGCAGUGGGGAAUAUUGCACAAUGGGGGAAACCCUGAUGCAGCGACGCCGCGUGAAGGAAGAAGUAUCUCGGUAUGUAAACUUCUAUCAGCAGGGAAGAU